AUGAAAUCAUCUGGCCAGGCAGGCCCCGCGGGAGAAUCAAGCCUUGUAAUUAGAUUGAAGGCUCCUAGGAAACGAAGCCCUGUUGCAGGAAGAGCAUUUGCAGAAGCUAAUUUGGGUUCUUCUUUUAAACUCAGAGCUUCCCUGGACCUCAACCAGCGCCAUUUGGGCAAAAAUUCAAUAAGCUGUGUGAGGGUCAUUAUUGAACAAACAUAUUAUCAGAUUUAGAUGGUUUGAUGUUAUUCUGAAGUUAUUCUGAAGACCAAUGAAAUAUCACGACGGUCAUGAAUAUACAAAAUUGUAUUCUUAUAUGAAUGAUACAGCUUAGUUUCUCAUAUCUGUUUUUCACUUUCCAGUACAUAUUUUUUGCAUUAAUAUUAAAAACCUGCCACACGGACAAACCACGCCACUGUUUCCUUUUCAUCAUAUGCAGUUAUUUGAAGAGAUUGGCAUUAAUCUGCGAAUUCUCCAUCAGGCUCAUUAGAAAAUAGCUGCGAAGAAGGAAUUAUCAAGUAGUUACCUUGGUCUCUGUGGUAGGAGUGGGGCUCCUUAUGGGGAAGAUGGGAGAGAAAUAUUUAGGAAGAAGAACCGAGAAUUGUCUUUUCUUCCUGAUUCUUACCUACAUUCAGAUAACUUAUUACGGAUGCUAUUUUAAUCUUCUGAAAUAUCUAAUCACUUUUUCAAGGACUAGGUUUAAUUGGGGAGGAUUUUCCCUUCUACAGGCUUGCUUCAAUUCUAGACUCAUUAAGAUGCUGAAAUAUCUAUUCUGGUAGUUCUUUCCUUACUGGUUUCAGGUUGAAUUCUGUCUAAAGUUUUACAGGUUCAGAUAUUGAAUCUAGUUAAGAGGCAGACAUGUUCCAUGAUCUCCACCUAGAGCAGUCAUUCAAAAACCCCAGAGUAGAGCUAAACUCCCUGUGGAUGUGAAGUAUAAUGCACACACGAAACUCCAGUGUAGCUGAGAAAUGAUUAUUAAGAUAAAACCAUGCCCUUGUGUACAAAACCCCACACAUAUAAAAAGAAUCAUCUUCAACUUUAUGUAAUUGUUUUUAAAAAUAGAUUACUUAAUAUUAGCUUUUUAAACAAAAUAUGAAAGUAAAAUUUUAAAAACUGUUAAUUAUUUGAAAUGCACGAGUGCUUUACAUUAGAAAAAUGGCAACUAUAUGCCCCUAAGCAAAUCAAGUCACUUCUCUGAUUGUGGUUUCCUCUUCUGCAAAGCUAGAGGAUUGUACCAGCUAUUUCUCAUGUUUCUCUCAGGUUCAGUAUUGAAUAAUUCUGUGGAUCAUUUUAUGUAAUUCAUCACACCUUAAUUUAUCAACUUCUAAUUACAUAUUUGUAUACAGGCUUUUCUUAAAAUGGUUUCAUACCAUUUGUUAUGUUAAUACUUGCUUAACAUUUAAAGAAAAAUUAAAGAUAGAGGAGAAUGAACAAGAGACAGGAAUAAGAAAUAGUUCCUAAAUCCCAAAGUACUAAAAGAUAUUACAGGAAAUACAAUCGUGUGGGUGAUUUGAAGAAAAGGAAAGUCACUGUAAAUUUAGUUUCUAUUUUGUGACAUAUAUGUUAUGGCCGCUAGUUAAUCUCACAACAACUCUAAAAUAGAUAUUAAUGUCCAGUUUAUACUGCUUAGUUAACUAUGGCUCAGAAAACCCCAAAUUCAUUGAAUUAGGAAGUAACACAGUCGACGUCUUUGGGUUUGAGUGACUCUUUACAUGCUCUUCCCAGAUCGCGAUGCAGUCUUUGUUCAUCCAGAUGGAAUAGCAAAAGGAAACUGCACAUGGAAGGGUUAAGUAGCACAUGAAAUGUCCAGGCUCUUAAAUAGUUCCAAAAUAAUAUCUUUUAUCAAUAUUUGAAUUUGUAUUAAAAAUACUUACCCAGGACAAAUUGAAAUAAAGUAUAACAAAGACUUGUAUCUGCUGAUGCUAUACUAUUCGGUGAUAUAAUAAUGCUAAUCAUAGCAAUAAAAUAUUUGCCAAAUAAAUAUAUAUUGAAGCUUUGAGCAAAGGCCAUCAUUUUUUUUUUUUUGUAACAC
ensembl:lncRNA